CAUGCAAGUCGAACGGUAGAGCAGCAAUGCUUGAGAGUGGCGAACGGGUGAGUAAUAUAUCGGAACGUGCCCAGUCGUGGGGGAUAACGUAAAGAAAUUUACGCUAAUACCGCAUACGAUCUAAGGAUGAAAGCGGGGGACUCGCAAGAGCCUCGCGCGAUUGGAGCGGCUGAUAUCAAAUUAGGUUGUUGGUGAGGUAAAAGCUCACCAAGCCGACGAUCUGUAGCUGGUUUGAGAGAACGACCAGCCACACUGGGACUGAGACACGGCCCAAACUCCUACGGGAGGCAGCAGUGGGGAAUUUUGGACAAUGGGCGAAAGCCUGAUCCAGCAAUGCCGCGUGUGGGAAGAAGGCCUUCGGGUUGUAAACCACUUUUGUACGGAACGAAACGGUCUGCCCUAAUACGGUGGGCUAAUGACGGUACCGUAAGAAUAAGCACCGGCUAACUACGUGCCAGCAGCCGCGGUAAUACGUAGGGUGCGAGCGUUAAUCGGAAUUACUGGGCGUAAAGCGUGCGCAGGCGGUUAUAUAAGACAGUUGUGAAAUCCCCGGGCUCAACCUGGGAAUUGCAUCUGUGACUGUAUAGCUAGAGUACGGUAGAGGGGGAUGGAAUUCCGCGUGUAGCAGUGAAAUGCGUAGAUAUGCGGAGGAACACCGAU
rnacentral:rRNA from 1 species